rnacentral:misc_RNA from 1 species
AAGUCGUAACAAGGUUUCCGUAGGUGAACCUGCGGAAGGAUCACUAUUGAGUUCCGGCCGAAAAGGUCAACUCCCACCCUUUGCGUACUUUAACCUGUUGCUUCGGCGGGCCGAUCGUUUAGCGACCACCGGCUUUUAGCGGGUGUGCGUCCGCCGAAGGACCUUUUGGAAACUCUGUCUGAGGUUGUCUGAGUCCUAUACGAUAAAGUGUAAAACUUUCAACAACGGAUCUCUUGGUUCUG